CGGCGGACGGGUGAGUAACACGUGAGUAACCUGCCUUAGACAUUGGGAUAGCCUCGGAAACCGGGAUUAAUACCAAAUGAAAUCACAUAUGCACAUGCAUAAAUGAUCAAAGCUCCGGCGGUCUAAGAUGGACUCGCGUCCCAUUAGCUAGUUGGUGAGGUAACGGCCCACCAAGGCGACGAUGGGUAGCCGGCCUGAGAGGGUGAACGGCCACAUUGGAACUGAGAAACGGUCCAAACUCCUACGGGAGGCAGCAGGC
rnacentral:rRNA from 1 species